CGAUGCGUAGCCAACCUGAGAGGGUGAUCGGCCACACUGGGACUGAGACACGGCCCAGACUCCUACGGGAGGCAGCAGUAGGGAAUCUUCCGCAAUGGACGAAAGUCUGACGGAGCAACGCCGCGUGAGUGAUGAAGGCUUUCGGGUCGUAAAACUCUGUUGUUAGGGAAGAACAAGUGCUAGUUGAAUAAGCUGGCACCUUGACGGUACCUAACCAGAAAGCCACGGCUAACUACGUGCCAGCAGCCGCGGUAAUACGUAGGUGGCAAGCGUUAUCCGGAAUUAUUGGGCGUAAAGCGCGCGCAGGUGGUUUCUUAAGUCUGAUGUGAAAGCCCACGGCUCAACCGUGGAGGGUCAUUGGAAACUGGGAGACUUGAGUGCAGAAGAGGAAAGUGGAAUUCCAUGUGUA
rnacentral:rRNA from 1 species